GAUGAACGCUGGCGGCGUGCUUAACACAUGCAAGUCGAACGAGAAUCAACGGAUUGAGGAUUCGUCCAAAUGAAGUUGAGGAAAGUGGCGGACGGGUGAGUAACGCGUGAGGAACCUGCCUCGGAGUGGGGAAUAACAGUUGGAAACAGCUGCUAAUACCGCAUAAUGCAACGAAAUCGCAUGACUUUGUUGCCAAAGAUUUAUCGCUCUGAGAUGGCCUCGCGUCCGAUUAGCUGGUUGGUGAGGUAACGGCCCACCAAGGCGACGAUCGGUAGCCGGACUGAGAGGUUGAACGGCCACAUUGGGACUGAGACACGGCCCAG
rnacentral:rRNA from 1 species